rnacentral:rRNA from 1 species
CCUACGGGUGGCAGCAGUGAGGAAUAUUGGUCAAUGGGCGUAAGCCUGAACCAGCCAAGUCGCGUGAGGGAUGAAGGCUCUAUGGUUCGUAAACCUCUUUUAUAAGGGAAUAAAGUGCGGGACGUGUCCCGUUUUGUAUGUACCUUAUGAAUAAGGAUCGGCUAACUCCGUGCCAGCAGCCGCGGUAAUACGGAGGAUCCGAGCGUUAUCCGGAUUUAUUGGGUUUAAAGGGUGCGUAGGCGGGCUGUUAAGUCAGCGGUGAAAGUGUGUGGCUCAACCAUAGAAUUGCAGUUGAAACUGGGGGGCUUGGGUAGGUUUGAGGCAGGCGGAAUGCGUGGUGUAGCGGUGAAAUGCAUAGAUAUCACGCAGAACCCCGAUUGCGAAGGCAGCCUACCAAGCCAUGACUGACGCUGAUGCACGAAAGCGUGGGGAUCGAACAGGAUUAGAUACCCCAGUAGUC